rnacentral:lncRNA from 1 species
GCUAAGUGCCUGCAGGAACAGCGUUCCUGCUCAAAAAAAAGUGCAGGAACUCUGUUCCUGCAGGACUCAAUACAUAGGCGUGCUGCGGGGAUUAGGGUGUGCCCAGGCACACCCGGCACACCCCGUGCACACGCCUAUGAUAGUUAGUAUAUAUUUAGCAAGAAUAUAGCCCAACAGAGCUUUAUGGCAGUAGUGGCCAAUAAGGAGACCAGUAGAUGCUAUAGCUCCCAUGAUGCUUUACCUUUAUUAAAGGAACACUAUAGGCACCAAAACAAUUUUAGCUUAACAAAGCAGUUUGGAUGUAUAGAACAUGCCCCUACAGUCUCAAUUCUCUGCCAUUUAGGAGUUAAAUUACUUGUUUAUGCAGCCCUAUACAGUCCCUGUAUACAGACUGCAUGGGAAUGAUCUAUAUACACCAAGCCUGCUUCAUUAAGCUACAGUUGUUAUGGUGCCUAUAGUGUACCUUAAAGUUGGCAAAGCAUCAUGGACAUUUUAAUUUGGCAAAUUGGAGAUCUACCUUUUGGUCUUCUCUGCUUUUGAGGAAAUACAUACUUGGCUGAAAUCGUGGUCUAAAGUCUGGUAAAAUGUCAGAACUCAAGUCAGAAAUUCAAAACGGGAACUAUAUACAAAUCUAGGACAGCUAGCAGGUAUGGUUCCAAUGCCUGAUAAAAUUAUGAAGGAAUAGUUUAAAUUUCCUGUCUUUGCGUUUGCUGCCACCUGGUGGAGAUUUAGUUUAGUUAAACUACAGUUUUUUGGCUUUAUGGUUUUUUUUUAAGUGCAGUUGUUUAUAUGCACUAUGACUAUUGGGUUUCUGUAGUGAGAGACUGCUGCCCCAUGAUAUGUAUAUUAUUACCAUCUUCGUAAAUAAUAUUCAUACCUAGCGGGACGUGGAAGUAAUAUUACUAAGGGAUCUAUUCACUAAACAGUGAAAUGGGAAUCUGUAAAUUUAUCAAUAUUCAGCAUACAGAUUUUUGCAAUUUGCCAUCAUUCACUGAUUAGUGCACAAACCCAUUAUAUGUUCAGUUUAACCCAUUUUUUCCCAGCAGGUUGCAACUGUUUAGCAAUUUACAUUGGAACCUGGACUUCGGUAAUGGAUUAAGGUAGUUUCAAUUCCUGGAAUAAUCUUUCAAACUUUAUAAACCCGAAAUGAAUGCAUUUAUGCAAUAUUAGUGCAUUUCAUCUUUUUUUGGGAAGGGUGGAUAAAAUGUAAUCUGUUAAAGGGUUAUUUCAUUCACCAUGACCACUGCUGCUUUUAGAAGUGGUUAUGGUGGUAGGAGUCUAUAUGUGCAGCAGUUUCACAAAAACCAGGGCUCCUCUCGUCACUCAAGCCUACCCCCUCUCCAGCCACAUUUACAAUGCAGAAACCACUUCUGCAUUAGGACAUACAACUCCAUUCAACUUUGAUGGCAUUAAUAGGCUGAGAAUCCUGGUCUAACCAAACAGCACCCAAAGAGUUAUACCACCAUAACCAUUGCAAUGAGCUACGGUGAUUAUGGUGCUUAAAGUGAAGCUUUAACUGGAUUGCUGAAGAUUGUGAGAAACCAAAAGUAAACUAAAAGGGGACUAUUCACCAAAUAGUGAGUUGCAUGGACUUGAGUAUUAACUUGAGAAAUUUACACAAAAAUAUCAAAUUGGAUAUUUUAGUUUAAAAAAUAACUUUUAAUUAAAAUGGAUAGGUUUUUUUUUUUACAACUCGUGUAUUUUAUCCUCAGUCAUGAUGGCAUCAAAACUAAAAAUCUUUAAAUAAAAUCCUUUGAAAUCGCCUUUACCAAAACCGUGUCAAAUGUCUAAAUAUAGAUAUUUAAAAUUACAAAUGUUUUUUUUUUAAAUUUUCUUUUAGAAGAAAAAUAGAAGAAAAAAAAGAUAGAGACUUACAGGUACAGACUGUAGAGAAUCUGAG